GUACCCGCUUUGACAGUAUAUGUGCUAAAAUUGGGACGAUACUGAGAAGAUUAGGCAUAGCACCAGAAUGACGAGUACAACUGUAAAGUGUUCCACAUUUUU
rnacentral:snRNA from 1 species